GAGGGUUGAGCUCUAGAAUGUUCUGGCUGCACCAGGUCACCAGAUGGUCGAUCUCCCACCUGUAGGCGGACUCAUCCCCACCCAAUGAGGGUGGUGUCAUCCGCAAACUUCAGGAGCUUGACAGACUGGUGACUGGAGGUGCAGCUGUUGGUGUACAGGGAGAAGAGAUGGGGGGAAGAAAGCAGCCUUGAGGGAACCGGUGCUGAUGGUCAUGGACUCUGAGACAUGUUUUCCCAGCUUCAGGAGGUCUGUGAUCCACCUGCACAAUAGUUGUCUCCAAGCCUCUCUUCCACAUGUUCCACCUGUUGCUCUAAGUCCUGUUCUCCUGCGGCCUGUAUCUUGCCCGGUGCAGUUCCUGAUGUUGUGUCGCUAAUUUCCACGCUGCCUCUUGCCACAUGGCGCCAGAGGAUGUCCCCAAAUCACAGCAUUCCGUUCAGCUUCAGCUUUCUAACUGUGGUUGGUGGCGGUGUGAUCACAUACAAAGUCAAUGCAAAGACGUGGAGAGAUGGGAUUUCCCAUCAGGCGCUGCGGAGAGGGAGAAAGUUGCAUGAUGCAUCAGCGGUGAGAUUGACAGCUACAGAGCGUUGGGU